rnacentral:rRNA from 1 species
GACGAACGCUGGCGGCGUGCUUAACACAUGCAAGUCGAGCGGUAAGGCCCUUUCGGGGGUACACGAGCGGCGAACGGGUGAGUAACACGUGGGUGACCUGCCCUCAGCUCUGGGAUAAGCCUGGGAAACCGGGUCUAAUACUGGAUAUGACUCCAUGACGCAUGUUGUGGGGUGGAAAGCCUUGUGCGGCUGAGGAUGGGCCCGCGGCCUAUCAGCUUGUUGGUGGGGGAUGGCCUACCAAGGCGACGACGGGUAGCCGGCCUGAGAGGGCGACCGGCCACACUGGGACUGAGACACGGCCCAGACCUCCUACGGGAGGCAGCAGUGGGGAAUCUUGCGCAAUGGGCGAAAGCCUGACGCAGCGACGCCGCGUGAGGGAUG